UAAUUGUAAAAGUAAUUUUUACUUUUAAAAUUUAAUGAUAAAUAUGAUACUCAAAAUAUUUAAUUAAAAAUAUUAGUGAUAUUGAAAAAACAAAUUUUGAAAAAAAUAGUUAAUAUUUGUUGGAAAUAAUUAUUUGAUAGUAUUUUAGUUUCUAAAUCCUAGAAAAAGAUAAUUAUAAAAGAUUAUGUAAUUUUAAUUUUCUUUUCUAAUACCCUAAAACUGUAAAAAAAAAUCGAGAAAUGGACCAAAUUUUUUUCAACCUGAGAAGUCAUGGGUUCGAGUGCCGCUGGGAGGUGAUUAUCUUGAGGGACCUUUGGGCCCAAUACAGAGAAGC
rnacentral:lncRNA from 1 species